rnacentral:tRNA from 1 species
GGGGUUGUGGCUCAUUGGUAGAGCACUUUCUAGUAUAUGUGAGGCACUGGGUUCGAUUCUCAGCACCGCA